rnacentral:tRNA from 1 species
UGGGGUGCAGCUCAGUGGUAGAGUGCUUGCCUAGCACAUGUGAGGCACUGAGUUUGAUCCUCAGCACCACAU